rnacentral:rRNA from 1 species
GGACUACUCGGGUAUCUAAUCCUGUUUGCUACCCACGCUUUCGCGUCUCAGUGUCAGAACCGGCCCAGAAGGCCGCCUUCGCCGCCGGUAUUCCUCCUAAUAUCUACGAAUUUCACCUCUACACUAGGAAUUCCACCUUCCUCUACCGUCCUCUAGCUUUGUAGUUUCGGAUGCACUUCCUCGGUUGAGCCCAGGGAUUUCACACCCGACUUACAAAACCACCUACACGCGCUUUACGCCCAAUGAUUCCGAACAACGCUUGCACCCUACGUAUUACCGCGGCUGCUGGCAC